rnacentral:rRNA from 1 species
GAGUAUAACAUGCAUGCAAGUAUAAGGGUGACAAACCCGUAUGCGCAAUGAAAGUAACUUUCGGUGAUUGUUGUGUGGCCUGACGACCAGACACGAAACAGAGCCUGUCCCUCGAAUGGCCACUGCCCAGGUUCCGUGGUACGAUCCCAUGAACAUGGAGACGGAGCAUGCAUGCUAGGACCCGAAAGAUGGUGAACUAUGCCUGGACAGAGCGAAGCCAAAGGAAACUCUGGUGGAGGCUCGUAGCGAUUCUGACGUGCAAAUCGAUCGUCUGAUCUGGGUAUAGGGGCGAAAGACUAAUCGAACCAUCUCAUAGCUGGUUCCUGCCGAAGUUUCCCUCAGGAUAGCAGAGACAUCAAUGAAGUUGCAUGCGGUAAAGCGAAUGAUUAUUGACGCUGGGGUUCAAAUGGACCUCAAUCUAUUCUCAAACUGUGAAUGCGUGCGUUUGGACUGUUGCUUAGCGUAAGAAGCCCUGCCAGCAAUGCUUUAGUCUCUAGUGGGCCAUUUCUGGUAAGCAGAACUGGCGAUGCGGGAUGAACCGAAAGCGAGGUUAAGGUGCCGGAAUGUACGCUAACCAGAGAUAAAAGGCGUAUGUGCAUGGACACAGCAGGGCAGUGGCCAUGGA